GAUGAACGCUGGCGGCGUGCCUAAUACAUGCAAGUCGAGCGAACAGAUGAGGAGCUUGCUCCUCUGACGUUAGCGGCGGACGGGUGAGUAACACGUGGAUAACCUACCUAUAAGACUGGGAUAACUUCGGGAAACCGGAGCUAAUACCGGAUAAUAUAUUGAACCGCAUGGUUCAAUAGUGAAAGACGGUUUUGCUGUCACUUAUAGAUGGAUCCGCGCCGCAUUAGCUAGUUGGUAAGGUAACGGCUUACCAAGGCAACGAUGCGUAGCCGACCGGAGAGGGUGAUCGGCCACACGGGAACUGAGACACGGUCCAGGCUCCUACGGGAGGCAGCAGUAGGGAAUCUUCCGCAGUGGGCGAAAGCCUGACGGAGCAACGCCGCGUGAGUGAUGAAGGUCUUCGGAUCGUAAAACUCUGUUAUUAGGGAAGAACAAAUGUGUAAGUAGCUAUGCACGGCUUGACGGUACCUAAUCAGAAAGCCACGGCUAACUACGUG
rnacentral:rRNA from 1 species